UCGUCCUACGGGGCGCAGCAGUGAGGAAUAUUGGUCAAUGGCCGCAGGGCUGAACCAGCCAAGUCGCGUGAGGGAUGACGGUCCUAUGGAUUGUAAACCUCUUUUGUCAGGGAGCAAAGGGCGCCACGUGUGGCGCUUUGCGAGUACCUGAAGAAAAAGCAUCGGCUAACUCCGUGCCAGCAGCCGCGGUAAUACGGAGGAUGCGAGCGUUAUCCGGAAUCACUGGGCGUAAAGGGAGCGUAGACGGCUGAGCAAGCCUGAAGUGAAAGGCGGGGGCCCAACCCCCGGACUGCUUUGGGAACUGU
rnacentral:rRNA from 1 species